rnacentral:tRNA from 1 species
GGGUGAUUAGCUCACCUGGGAGAGCACCUCCCUUACAAGGAGGGGGUCGGCGGUUCGAUCCCGUCAUCACCCACCA